rnacentral:rRNA from 1 species
UUGGAGGGCAAGUCUGGUGCCAGCAGCCGCGGUAAUUCCAGCUCCAAUAGCGUAUAUUAAAGUUGUUGCAGUUAAAAAGCUCGUAGUUGAAUUUCGGGGUUAGUAGAUUGGUCAUGCCUCUGGUAUGUGCUGGUCUCACUGAUUCCCCCUUCCUGAUGAUCCGUAAUGCCAUUAAUUUGGUGUUGCGGGGAAUUUGGACUGUUACUUUGAAAAAAUUAGAGUGUUUAAAGCAAGCUAACGCUUGAAUACAUUAGCAUGGAAUAAUGAAAUAGGACGUUCGAUCCUAUUUUGUUGGUUUCUAGGAUUGACGUAAUGAUUAAUAGGGAUAGUUGGGGGCAUUAGUAUUCAAUUGUCAGAGGUGAAAUUCUUGGAUUUAUUGAAGACUAACCGCUGCGAAAGCAUUUGCCAAGGAUGUUUUCAUUAAUCAAGAACGAAAGUUAGGGGAUCGAAGACGAUCAGAUACCGUCGUAGUCUUAACCAUAAACUAUGCCGACUAGGGAUCGGAUGAUGUUAAUUUUUUAAUGACUCAUUCGGCGCCUUACGGGAAACCAAAGUGUUUGGGUUC